GCAGCAGCCGCGGUAAUACAGAGGGUGCGAGCGUUAAUCGGAUUUACUGGGCGUAAAGCGUGCGUAGGCGGCUUCUUAAGUCGGAUGUGAAAUCCCUGAGCUUAACUUAGGAAUUGCAUUUGAUACUGGGAAGCUAGAGUAUGGGAGAGGAUGGUAGAAUUCCAGGUGUAGCGGUGAAAUGCGUAGAGAUCUGGAGGAAUACCGAUGGCGAAGGCAGCCAUCUGGCCUAAUACUGACGCUGAGGUACGAAAGCAUGGGGAGCAAACAGGAUUAGAUACCCCAGUAGUCCCUGUCUCUUAUAC
rnacentral:rRNA from 1 species